CCCUUAGAUGUUCUGGGCCGCACGCGCGCUACACUGACGAAGUCAGCGAGCAUGUCCUACGCCGACAGGUGCGGGGAAUCUUGUCAAACUUCGUCGUGAUGGGGAUUGAUUAUUGAAAUUCUUGAUCAUCAACGAGGAAUUCCUAGUAAGCGCAAGUCAGCAGCUUGCGUUGAUUACGUCCCUGCCCUUUGUACACACCGCCCGUCGCACCUACCGAUUGAAUGGUUCGGUGAAGAUCUCGGACUUCGAUAUUUAUUCUUUAUUGAGUUUAUAUUGUGGGAAGUUAUCUAAACCUCAUCAUUUAGAGGAAGGUGAAGUCGUAACA
rnacentral:rRNA from 1 species